rnacentral:rRNA from 1 species
UACGUAGGGGGCAAGCGUUAUCCGGAAUCAUUGGGCGUAAAGCGCGUGUAGGCGGUUCCGUAAGUCCGCUCUGAAAGCCCAGGGCUCAACCCUGGGAGGCGGGUGGAUACUACGGAACUGGAGUACGGAAGAGGAGAUUGGAAUUCUGGUGUAGCGGUGAAAUGCGCAGAUAUCAGGAGGAACACCAACAGCGAAGGCAGAUCUCUGGGACGUUACUGACGCUGAGACGCGAAGCGUGGGGAGCAAACAGG